ensembl:lncRNA
AUGCAGGAGGGAUACAGAAGAGGGAGGAAGACAGGUCGAGAGAGAGAGAAAGAGGGCAAAAACGGAUACAUGUCUGUGGCCAUUUCUCUUCGAUAUAAGAAAGUGCGUACUUUUGCCGUGGGAAGGGGUGUGCUGCAGGUGUUUUGGGGCCGUCGGAGAGCUUGCAGAAUGAGUCAGAGGUUUAUUAAACAGCAGCCAAAACCAGAGGAGAGAGGAUGAGAGGAGAUGAGAAGCGAGCAGAAAGGGGGAGAAAAGGGAAGGGGGUAAGAUUGUUAUCCUGCUGGGUGAAGAUCUCAGCCAGGACUGGCAUCGCUUCCCAUCUUUUCUGAGCCAUUGAAG